rnacentral:rRNA from 1 species
GACGAACGCUGGCGGCGUGCUUAACACAUGCAAGUCGAACGGUAAGGCCCUUCGGGGUACACGAGUGGCGAACGGGUGAGUAACACGUGGGUGAUCUGCCCUGCACUUCGGGAUAAGCCUGGGAAACUGGGUCUAAUACCGGAUAGGACCACUGCCUGCAUGGGUGGUGGUGGAAAGCUUUUGCGGUGUGGGAUGGGCCCGCGGCCUAUCAGCUUGUUGGUGGGGUGAUGGCCUACCAAGGCGACGACGGGUAGCCGGCCUGAGAGGGUGACCGGCCACAGGGGGACUGGGAUACGGCCCAGACUCCUGCGGGAGGCAGCGGUGGGGAAGAUUGCACAAUGGGCGCGGGCCUGAUGCAGCGACGCCGCGUGAGGGAUGACGGCCUUCGGGUUGUAAACCUCUUUCAGCACCGACGAAGCGCAAGUGACGGUAGGUGCAGAAGAAGGACCGGCCAACUACGUGCCAGCAGCCGCCGUAA